AAAAAUUAACUUUGUGGCAAUUACAUGAUGGAAGGACAUAAUACCAAGGAAAAACUUUGUCAGUUACCUCUACCUAUUAAAAUAUAAUGAUAGGUUUUUUCAAGUUUUGUAAUUACAAGUUUUGUAAAACUUGUGUGAAUAAUACAUGAUAUUUAUUUGUUUAAAAUAUAAUGAUGUAGGAAUCAAUUUUUUAUAUGUGAUUUUCUUUCUUGGUAAUCAAAAAGUUAACUUGCAUGUUUGAUUGUUUUGGAGAUUUUUUGUCUUAAUGAGUGAUUCACCUUUGUUUAGAACCCUCCCAAGCUGGCUACUCCUCUAUUUGAUACUAAAAUGGCAGAGGACCCUAAGAUGACAUACAUAGACCUAGAUAAUCUUCAAAUUGUGUUUUGAACGAAGAGUGUUUGGUCUUGCAUUGUGAUGGCGUCUGAGUGUUGGCUUGGUCUCUGUUGGCUUGCUACAUAUCUAGAAAGCUCCAUGAUUUGUGCUAAGCUCAAAAUAUCAGUAGAUUUGUUGUGGUAGUGCCUUAACAGGAUUUGAGACUUCUCCAUUCAGGAAAAGACAAGUCCGGUAGAUACAAAAAUUACAAGAUUGCAAGUUUGGAUUGAAGGUCACAAGAAAAAAAUGGGGAGCCUAGUACUCAAGCUGUUGGAGAGAAAAUAGUGGACCUAAUUCGACCAAAUGAUGAAAUGCAGUUUCUUGAUGAUGCAAUAGGAAGCACGGUCGCAUGAUUAUCUAAAUUUAUAGUAUUGUGUGAUUGAUACAUAUUAUACUAAUUUGUUUGGAUUGUAAGUUGAAUUGUUGUUAUGUAAUUGCUAGUUUGUUAGAGAUUUCAUAUAUUGUUUUAGAUGUUUUGAGUUUUUGUGGUAUAAUGAAAAGCUAUGACUUUUAUUAA